rnacentral:rRNA from 1 species
AGAGUUUGAUCCUGGCUCAGGACGAACGCUGGCGGCGCGCCUAACACAUGCAAGUCGAACGAGCGAGAGAGAGCUUGCUUUCUCGAGCGAGUGGCGAACGGGUGAGUAACGCGUGAGGAACCUGCCUCAAAGAGGGGGACAACAGUUGGAAACGACUGCUAAUACCGCAUAAGCCCACGACCCGGCAUCGGGUAGAGGGAAAAGGAGCAAUCCGCUUUGAGAUGGCCUCGCGUCCGAUUAGCUAGUUGGUGAGGUAACGGCCCACCAAGGCAACGAUCGGUAGCCGGACUGAGAGGUUGAACGGCCACAUUGGGACUGAGACACGGCCCAGACUCCUACGGGAGGCAGCAGUGGGGAAUAUUGCACAAUGGGGGAAACCCUGAUGCAGCGACGCCGCGUGGAGGAAGAAGGUCUUCGGAUUGUAAACUCCUGUUGCUGAGGAAGAUAAUGACGGUACUCAACAAGGAAGUGACGGCUAACUACGUGCCAGCAGCCGCGGUAAAACGUAGGUCACAAGCGUUGUCCGGAAUUACUGGGUGUAAAGGGAGCGCAGGCGGGAAGACAAGUUGGAAGUGAAAUCCAUGGGCUCAACCCAUGAACUGCUUUCAAAACUGUUUUUCUUGAGUAGUGCAGAGGUAGGCGGAAUUCCCGGUGUAGCGGUGGAAUGCGUAGAUAUCGGGAGGAACACCAGUGGCGAAGGCGGCCUACUGGGCACCAACUGACGCUGAGGCUCGAAAGUGUGGGUAGCAAACAGGAUUAGAUACCCUGGUAGUCCACACCGUAAACGAUGAUUACUAGGUGUUGGAGGAUUGACCCCUUCAGUGCCGCAGUUAACACAAUAAGUAAUCCACCUGGGGAGUACGACCGCAAGGUUGAAACUCAAAGGAAUUGACGGGGGCCCGCACAAGCAGUGGAGUAUGUGGUUUAAUUCGACGCAACGCGAAGAACCUUACCAAGUCUUGACAUCCUGCGACGAUGCUGGAAACAGUAUUUUCCUUCGGGACGCAGAGACAGGUGGUGCAUGGUUGUCGUCAGCUCGUGUCGUGAGAUGUUGGGUUAAGUCCCGCAACGAGCGCAACCCUUGCCUUUAGUUGCCAGCAUUAAGUUGGGCACUCUAGAGGGACUGCCAGGGAUAACCUGGAGGAAGGUGGGGAUGACGUCGAAUCAUCAUGCCUCUUAUGCUUAGGGCUACACACGUGCUACAAUGGGUGGUACAGAGGGCAGCCAAGUCGUGAGGCGGAGCUAAUCCCUUAAAGCCAUUCUCAGUUCGGAUUGUAGGCUGAAACUCGCCUACAUGAAGCUGGAGUUACUAGUAAUCGCAGAUCAGAAUGCUGCGGUGAAUGCGUUCCCGGGUCUUGUACACACCGCCCGUCACACCACGGGAGUUGGGGGCGCCCGAAGCCGGAUUGCUAACCUUUUGGAAGCGUCCGUCGAAGGUGAAAUCAAUAACUGGGGUGAAGUCGUAACAAGGUA